AGUUUGAUCCUGGCUCAGAUUGAACGCUGGCGGCAUGCCUUGCACAUGCAAGUCGAACGGCAGCACGGGAGCAAUCCUGGUGGCGAGUGGCGAACGGGUGAGUAAUAUAUCGGAACGUGCCCAGUCGUGGGGGGAUAACGCAGCGAAAGCUGUGCUAAUACCGCAUACGAUCUCUGGAUGAAAGCGGGGGACUCGCAAGAGCCUCGCGCGAUUGGAGCGGCCGAUAUCAGAUUAGCUAGUUGGUGGGGUAAAAGCCCACCAAGGCGACGAUCUGUAGCUGGUCUGAGAGGACGACCGGCCACACUGGGACUGAGAUACGGCCCAGACUCCUACGGGAGGCAGCAGUGGGGAAUAUUGCACAAUGGGCGCAAGCCUGAUGCAGCGACGCCGCGUGAGGGAUGACGGCCUUCGGGUUGUAAACCUCUUUCAAUAGGGACGAAGCGCAAGUGACGGUACCUAUAGAAGAAGCACCGGCCAACUACGUG
rnacentral:rRNA from 1 species